UGAAGAGGAAACAGUGACCUUUCUCCUUCGGCUGCAGCCCUGUUGCCCAAGCUCAGGGCAACCCCUGAGCCCUGAUCCCAAGGGAGGCAGUGCCGCCUUCUCCUCUAGGCCUGGCAGUUCCAGGGUGACAGGAAGGUCACGAUAUCUCUGUUUGGGUGCACUGCAGCCUCCGCUUCCUGCCAGGACCAGGCUGUAUCAGGCACUGGGAUGAAGAAAACAUUCCAAGCAAUGGGCUGGCCUAGAAGACUCUCCAGGUCAUGAUGUGACCAAGGUUGCCCCUUGCCACUCCCAGCUUUAUUCUCACCAGCUCAGCAACCCCAGGGAAAAGGGAGCACCAAUUUCCAAUUGUUUCAGAACAAGGAAACUAUUGCUGCAUCCCAAGAGUCCCGCAUGCAGUAGCUCAUCAACUGGUCACAAGGACGUUAGAGGUGGGUG
rnacentral:lncRNA from 1 species